rnacentral:rRNA from 1 species
UACGUAGGUGGCAAGCGUUGUCCGGAAUUAUUGGGCGUAAAGCGCGCGCAGGCGGUCCUUUAAGUCUGAUGUGAAAGCCCACGGCUCAACCGUGGAGGGUCAUUGGAAACUGGGGGACUUGAGUACAGAAGAGAAGAGUGGAAUUCCACGUGUAGCGGUGAAAUGCGUAGAGAUGUGGAGGAACACCAGUGGCGAGGCGACUCUUUGGUCUGUAACUGACGCUGAGGCGCGAAAGCGUGGGGAGCAAACAGG